UAAAUUGAAAAUCAUUAGCAUUUCCCAUUCCCAUAGCUGUUAUCAUUUCUAUUUUUCUCUUAGUAAGUAGGGUUGAUGACAACAACCUAGACGGUUUUCCAGGAAACAUGAGGAUGCAGAUGUCAGCUGAUAAGAAAGUGAACAAGAAGAAUGGGAUAAAAGAUAGAAGAUCAUCUACUGCUAAAGGGAAGACUGAUCUGAAAACACUGAUG
rnacentral:lncRNA from 1 species